GUGCUUGCUUCAGCAGCACAGAUAUUAAAAUUGGAAUGAUACAGAGAGUUAGCAUGGUGCCUGCACAAGGAUGACAUGCAGAUUCAUGAAGCAUUCCAUAUUUAA
ensembl:snRNA U6 U6 spliceosomal RNA